rnacentral:rRNA from 1 species
GAUGAACGCUAGCGGCAGGCCUAACACAUGCAAGUCGAGGGAGGAGCUUUCGGGCUUCGACCGGCGUACGGGUGCGUAACGCGUAUACAAUCUGCCUUUCACAUAGGGAUAGCCCGAAGAAAUUUGGAUUAAUACCUAAUGGUAUAUAGAGGUGGCAUCACCUUUAUAUUAAAGCUGAGGCGGUGAAAGAUGAGUAUGCGUUCUAUUAGCUAGUUGGAGAGGUAACGGCUCCCCAAGGCGACGAUAGAUAGGGGUUCUGAGAGGGAUAUCCCCCACACUGGUACUGAGAUACGGACCAGACUCCUACGGGAGGCAGCAGUGAGGAAUAUUGGACAAUGGUCGGAAGACUGAUCCAGCCAUGCCGCGUGCAGGAAGACGGCCUUAUGGGUUGUAAACUGCUUUUGCAGGGGAAGAAUAAGGACCACGCGUAGUUUGAUGACGGUACUCUGCGAAUAAGCAUCGGCUAACUCCGUG